rnacentral:lncRNA from 1 species
GUUCCCUCUUUCAGCUUGGAGCCCGCCUCCCUCAGUCUCAGAACAGGGGGAGCCUCUUCCUUCCUUCUUUCUUGUCUAUUAAAUUCUCCACUCCUUAAAACCACUCCACGUGUGCCCAUGUUGUUUUAUUCAAACCAGUGGGAGACCAAGGACCCUAGUGUUCCUCCAGUCAUCAGAGCCAUACCAUUUUGUUGCAUUGGCCGGGAAUCCAAGGUACGACACUCAUCGGAGUGAUGGGUAACAGAUCGUCUUCUCUGCACUCCAACCUGGGUGACAGAAUGAGGCUUCAUCUAAAAAAAUUAAUAUAAUGAAUCACAUUAAUAGAAUAAAGAAGAAAACCCACAUAAUCAUGUAAACGCACAAAAACCACUAUCUGAAAUCCAUUACUUUUCAUGAUAAACUAGGAAUUAAAAGGUGCCUAUAAGCAACCCAUUACAACCCAUGGCAAAAUCUUUCCUUUAGAAUCAGGAAGAGGACAAGAUUGCUCAAAAUCACUACUUUGAUUCAACACUUUGAUUAGCCUGCACAAUACAACAAGAAAGAGAAACAAAAGACAUGAGAAUUAGAAAGAAAAACAAAGCUCUAAAUUAUUCUAGAU